rnacentral:rRNA from 1 species
UACGAAGGGGGCUAGCGUUGUUCGGAAUCACUGGGCGUAAAGCGCACGUAGGCGGACUCUUAAGUCGGUGGUGAAAUCCUGGAGCUCAACUCCAGAACUGCCUUCGAUACUGGGAGUCUCGAGUCCGGGAGAGGUGAGUGGAACUGCGAGUGUAGAGGUGAAAUUCGUAGAUAUUCGCAAGAACACCAGUGGCGAAGGCGGCUCACUGGCCCGGUACUGACGCUGAGGUGCGAAAGCGUGGGGAGCAAACAGG